rnacentral:rRNA from 1 species
GUGGGGAAUAUUGGACAAUGGGCGAAAGCCUGAUCCAGCCAUGCCGCGUGUGUGAAGAAGGUCUUCGGAUUGUAAAGCACUUUAAGUUGGGAGGAAGGGCAGUAAGUUAAUACCUUGCUGUUUUGACGUUACCGACAGAAUAAGCACCGGCUAACUUCGUGCCAGCAGCCGCGGUAAUACGAAGGGUGCAAGCGUUAAUCGGAAUUACUGGGCGUAAAGCGCGCGUAGGUGGUUUUGUAAGUUGGAGGUGAAAUCCCCGGGCUCAACCUGGGAACUGCCUCCAAAACUGCAUGACUAGAGUACGGUAGAGGGUAGUGGAAUUUCCUGUGUAGCGGUGAAAUGCGUAGAUAUAGGAAGGAACACCAGUGGCGAAGGCGACUACCUGGACUGAUACCGACACUGAGGUGCGAAAGCGUGGGGAGCAAACAGGAUUAGAUACCCGAGUAGUCC